CUGGGGAAGGAGAUGGAGAACUCCCAACUUGAAAUUCUAUUUAAGUCGAGAAAUAUCUACCAUCCGAGUUAAGCCUGGCAGGACCAUAAGAGAGACAAUUUAGUCAUCAUCAUGAAAAGCAAACUAAUAAAAAGAGCGGUACAUGUCAUUUUAUUUCAGCAAGUUCCUCCUUAUCUUUCUUUACUAUUUCCUUUUUCCCGAGCAGCUGAGGGUUGGAGCAAAGAACUAAAAGCAUAUAGCCAUAUGUCAUAAACCAUUAUUCCAUUCAAGUUCUACAAAUUUCACGAGAGAUGUUAUAUAUUUUUUUAUUUCACAAUGUAAUAAUAUGUAUAUUCACCUGUAUAUGAUAAGGACCAACAAGCUAUUUCACAAAUUCACAAUUAUCUGUUUCUUCGUCAAGGUUGGGGAUGUGAUACCUCAAGCAGAACCUCCCUUGCAAAGAAACUGCCAUAUACAUCAGUUACUCCAAGAUGUUAUGGUCAAGUGGCACCUUGUUACAUGCUUUUGGCAAUGUCCCCCUCUAAGCUUUCAUCUGACUAAUGUGAUACUCGAUUAUCCCUGCAGCCACAUAUGCUGCGUGUGUGCAAAUGGUUGGGUGACUGAACAAGGCAUUCCAGCUCUUUUCUAGUAUGAUUAGGGAAGCAUUGCAAAAUUUUUAACCAGUGACAGAACAUAGAGAAGACCAAUAUCAUCCAUGUCCUUUUUCCAUGCAUUAAACCUGAGAGAAAUUGACCAUGUCAGUGUUAUUGUGGAAGCCAUCCGAAAUAUCCCCUGUUCUGGAGUCUGCGACCUCAUUCACAGCACCUUCCUUGGAAGUUGCUUUAAAACUGACCCUUCCACGAACUCGCCUAGAAGGCAUUGAUAUCGAGUUACUUUCAGGUAUGCCUGCACCUUUUCUUUUUUUCUUUGUGUUGAAAAAUCCUAAUUCUAAAGCUUCCAAUGCCUUUGUGGUCAAUGGCCGGUUCCUUGUACUCUGCCUCCGGUUAUUUACUAGAGGUUGCUGCCUUGGAUCAACUCCAUUGUCACAGAUCUUAAAAGACUCAGGUUGCUGGCCUGUUCCAGACAGAAAGGAUGAACUGUCAUUGUUUUGCUCAACAUCUGUCAUAAUAUGUUCUUCAGCUGCAAAAUCCGGUGAUACAUGAGGGAAGUUCAAGUCAAUCAACUUAAGGGAUUGAGGUUUUUCUGGAGAUGCUUCUCUACCUAGGAAAUUCUCACCAACAAUUCCUUCAUUGCUCUCAGUUGGCCUGUCUUUAGCCAAAGAACUGGGAAACGGCAAAAUUUGAGGUGGGCCCACCUGGAAAAUCCUGUCCUCACAUGCAUCAGGCGAGUUGGACAUGUAGUGGGUCUCAUCUUUAUUUAACUUCCUGUCUGCAAACAUAUUUUUAGUGCUCCAGUUCGAUUGCCCAGGGUCACAAGCAAUAGUAUCCUGCUGCUUCGUAAUAGGAACCAAAUAUUUUGAGCAACCAGACUUUACCUUCCUGCUGAAUUGAUACUUCAGAGUCUUCCUUUCCUCAUUGUCAUUAAUUAGACUUAUUUCCACAGCUGCAGUACUGGGAUCAGGAUUGCUAUGAGUGCCACUAUUUAGAAGACCGCUUGUACAAUAUGAUGAGUCAACACAAAUUCUCUUCUCAGUCACAUCAUCAGCUGGAUUUGAGGUGUUAAUUUCUUCUGAUUCCUCUUGUGAGUCUUCUGAUGUAUCUUCUUCAGUUUCACUAGAAAGACUAGAGAAGGUAGACACACUAAUAGUUUCAAUAGGUAAACUUAUGAGCUCUCUCACCUUAGGUUGUUCUGCUCCAUGAGCCAAACUGGUAUCAACAACUGUAAAUUUCUGUACAUGCCGAUUAUAAUUUGGAGUACGAGGCUGGAGGUAACAACGGCGUUGCUUGCUUGACACAUCAUCUUGGUCCUCUUUUAAGGAUGGGUCCCAUCCACAUUCUUCCUUAUGUUGGCUGGCAUUGGCUGUUUCAGUUUCAAGGUCAAGUAGUCCUGGUUCUGAUGCAACUUUAUUUAAGACGUCACUAACAGAAUCAAAAUAGUGGUUACCUUUCACAAGUCUUCUCCUUGAAAAUUUUUUAACACCGGGAAUGAGAAAUACCAAAGAAUGCUUAGAACCAGAAAAGCCAUUAUCCUUAGGCUGCUCAGAGUGCCAUCCUUUUGUUAAAAGUCUAGGCCAAACAGCUUCCCAGAAGAGAUCACUGGAUCGGGCUUUACUUAACCUAAAAUUUCCUGUCAGAAACUUGAUAAUGUCUGCAGAUGUAAGAGAGGAGCAGGCCUUGCCGAUUGGUAUUUCAGGACGAACAGAAAUUGUAUGAUUGGGCUUUAUUGGCUCCAUGGCUGUGCCAGUGAGAUCAUGCUUCCCUUUGCCAAUGCCCACUGCUUCUAUAAGCAUAUUGAUGCCAACUGCACCUUUUAGAGUGAAAACAUAUUCUGCAAAUGAAAUCUUCCCUUCUGUAAAUGCCCUAGAUACCUCGAGCAACACACCCUGACAUUUUUGUGAAACGUGAGAAAAUAAUCGUGAUAAUAGUUCCUGUUGCCUCCACCCUGUAAAUAUCUUUCGUCCAUGGAUACUUUGUCUGCUUCUUAGCUUUCGGCACUCUGACCACCUGUAAUAUCCAUCAGACCUGUAAAACUUUCCAUAAUAGAAAGACAGUAUAUCCCCCAUCUUUUUACUACUGACAAACUUCUUCACAGCAACAAGAUUCUUCCCAAAUAUGUAUAAACCAAGAAGAAAACUAUCAUGCUCAACAUCUGUCCAUGAUUCACCCAACAAGCCAGGCAGAGGACAGAAACCUCUUUCUAAUAGAUCCAUUUUGAUUGCAGAUUCUGGCAGAAGGACUGAGUCGACUUCCAUCUUAUCACUUCCAGCUGCCUGUUGAAUAUUUGAAUGAAUUCCUAUAUUUUUCCCAUAGCCUGAUAUAGUAUCCAAUGGCUCAACUUUAUGUUCUGGAGAUUCAUUGUUGGUAGUAAUUUGGCUCUCCUCACUGUUUUCAAAUUCUACUGUCCCAUUAAUGCUUUCAACUCCAGCAUGUGACCACAUAAGCAGGAGGGGUAAUCCCAGUAGAAAAGGCUGGUGAAUAUUGAGCAUGAAAUCUGAAUUUCUUGAUGUAUUUAUAAGCUGUAAAAGAUCACAUUCUGCAAUUAGAGGAGGAAUUUCUGCUUGAUAUUCAUCUCCUAUAAAAGGAAGCACCUGUGGAUCUCCAAAAAUAUCUCCCAUUUCACAAGGAGAUGGAGAAAAUGGUUGCUCAGCAUAUUCAUCCUGAGUAUCUUCCAUGUCACCAUGCAGACAAACAGAAUCAAUCUCCAUGGAAGAACUUGAACGUUAAAACCCACGAAGAAGAGAUAACCUAGGCAAAUGGGUUUUUGGGUUAUGCAACAAUUAACCUCGAUUGUCAACUUCUUCUUCUUCUUGAAGGAGAAAGCAGAGAUGUCAUGGACACGAAGGUUUAAGUGUUGCGGUGAGGCAAGGUAAUACAGGAAUAUAGAGACCAAAAAGAAAAUUCUUUCGCCUCUGUUUUUAU
rnacentral:misc_RNA from 1 species